rnacentral:rRNA from 1 species
AGUGAACGCUGGCGGUAGGCCUAACACAUGCAAGUCGAACGGCAGCACAGUAAUAGCUUGCUCUUACGGGUGGCGAGUGGCGGACGGGUGAGGAAUACAUCGGAAUCUACUUUUUCGUGGGGGCUAACGUAGGGAAACUUACGCUAAUACCGCAUACGACCUACGGGUGAAAUCAGGGGAUCUUCGGACCUUGCGCGAUUGCAUGACCCGAUGUCGGAUUAGCUAGUUGGCGGGGUAAAGGCCCACCAAGGCGACGAUCCGUAGCUGGUCUGAGAGGAUGAUCAGCCACACUGGAACUGAGACACGGUCCAGACUCCUACGGGAGGCAGCAGUGGGGAAUAUUGGACAAUGGGCGCAAGCCUGAUCCAGCCAUACCGCGUGGGUGAAGAAGGCCUUCGGGUUGUAAAGCCCUUUUGUUGGGAAAGAAAAGCAGCAGGUUAAUACCCCGCUGUUCUGACGGUACCCAAAGAAUAAGCACCGGCUAACUUCGUG